CCUUGGUGCCCCGACUUCCUAGUUAAUUACAGUUACAUAAUUAAUUAGUUUAAAUCGAGUAAUAAUAAUAGUAAUAAUAAUAAUAACAGCGAGUUAAUUGAUAAAUAUGUCUUCCGUUUUAAAUGACGCCAAAGACACGACAGUCCAAACUUUUGAUUGGUACUAUAUAUAUAUAUAUAUAUAUAUCUCCACUAAUUGAUCGUUUUAACAACAAUAUCUUACCCCAUGCAGAUCAAGAGACUGUAUUUCAACCAUAAACACAGAAAGAAACAACGCCACACCACAAAAUACCGUAAAUACAGCCGUCAUUUAUCAGUGAAAAUCUUUACAAAGAAAACAACAACAAAAACACAAGAACUAUUCUGCCGUUCUCCAAUCCAUCAGUUGGUCACCACGGUUACGGUUUGGACUAGAAAGGCGCCGUCUACGAUGAGCAGUAAGAAAGCUAUAGCAUCUUUAAUACUAUAAAAAGGUACAUAUUUACAUCACACACACACACACACACACACACACACACACACACACACACACACACACACACACACACACACACACACACACACACACACACAAACAGUUAUCAUUCAAGACCUUUCCAAAUCCACAGCGCUAACAUUGAUAAUGGUGUUUGCAUCCCAAAAAGGGACUCUAUUCCCCUACAUAGUGCACUACUUUUGACCAGGGCCUAUAAGGACUCUGGUCAGAAGUAGUGCACUAGAUAGGGUACCAUUUGGGAUGCACAGCCCCUAAGUUUAUAGGGGUUCAAGAGGAGAGCCAGGUGUUUUGUCUCCGCUCACUCCGGUGAUGAGAGAAGAGGUGUUGUACAGUUUGUUUUUUGGGGGGGGGUUGGGGGGGGGGGUAGUUGUCUCAGAGGUUAGGGGGUCACUUCCUGGCUUUGCCCUUGCCUUUGCCCUUUCCCUUCCCAGAAUCCCCGGCUGUUGUCUUCUCCUUCUUGGGCUCCUUGGAGGGUUUGGCUUUCUUCUGAUGUGGAGAAGAGAGGGGAGGGAGAAACAGGGGGGAGAGGAGAGGGAGGGAGAAACAGGGGGGAGAGGAGAGGGAGGGAGAAACAGGGGGGAGAGGAGAGGGAGGGAGAAAAAGAGGGGAGGGAGAAACAGGGGGGAGAGGGAGGGAGAAACAGGGAGGAGAGGGGAGGGAGAAACAGGGAGGAGAGGGAGGGAGAAACGGAGGAGAGGGAGGGAGAAACAGGCAGGAGAGGGGAGGGAGAAACAGGCAGGAGAGGGGAGGGAGGGAGAAACAGGCAGGAGAGGGGAGGGAGGGAGAAACAGGGAGGAGAGGGAGGGAGAAACAGGGAGGAGAGGGAGGGAGAAACAGGCAGGAGAGGGAGGGAGAAACAGGCAGGAGAGGGGAGGGAGGGAGAAACAGGCAGGAGAGGGAGGGAGAAACAGGGAGGAGAGGGAGGGAGAAACAGGGAGGAGAGGGAGGGAGAAACAGGGAGGAGAGGGAGGGAGAACAGGGAGGAGAGGGAGGGAGAAACAGGGAGGAGAGGGAGGGAGAAACAGGCAGGAGAGGGAGGGAGAAACAGGGAGGAGAGGGAGGGAGAAACAGGGAGGAGAGGGAGGGAGAAACAGGGAGGAGAGGGAGGGAGAAACAGGGAGGAGAGGGGAGGGAGAAACAGGGAGGAGAGGGAGGGAGAAACAGGCAGGAGAGGGAGGGAGAAACAGGGAGGAGAGGGAGGGAGAAACAGGGAGGAGAGGGAGGGAGAAACAGGGAGGAGAGGGAGGGAGAAACAGGGAGGAGAGGGGAGGGAGAAACAGGGAGGAGAGGGGAGGGAGAAACAGGGAGGAGAGGGGAGGGAGAAACAGGGAGGAGAGGGGAGGGAGAAACAGGGGGGAGAGGGAGGGAGAAACAGGGGGGAGAGGGAGGGAGAAACAGGGGGGAGAGGGAGGGAGAAACAGGGGGGAGAGGGAGGGAGAAAUGGGAAGGAAAAGGAAGAGAAAGAGAGAAAAGUAAAGUUAUUAUCCGAUUCAAAUAUCACCAGUGCUACAUUCAGGUCAAGGAAUGGAUUGUCUAUCUUUCUGAACGAGAAUGUGUGUAUAUACAUGUGUGUUGUGUGUAUAUACAUGUGUGUGUGUGUAUAUACAUGUGUGUUGUGUGUGUGUAUACGUGUGUGUGUGUAUACAGUAUGUACAGGUAACUGCCAAAAUAAAGGAAACACCAACAGAAUUAAAAAUGCCAAAAUAAAGGAAACACCAAAAUAUAGUGUGUUAAUAGGGCGUUGGGUCACCACCAACCAGAACAGCUUCAAUGCACCUUGACAUGGAUUCUACAGGUGUCUGGAACUCUAUCGGAGGGAUGUGACCUCAUUCUUCCACCAGGAAAUUCCAUGUUUUUGGCGAAAACGCUGUCUCAGGCGCAGCUCCAGAAUCUCCCAUAACUAUUCAACUGGGUUGAGAUCUGGUGACUGAGACGGCCAGGGCAUACGGUUUACAUGGUUUUCAUCUUCCUCAAAACACCAUUCAGUGACCACUGGUGUCCUGUGGGAUGGGGGGGUGGUGUUAUCCUGGAAGAGACCACUGGUGUCCUGUGGGAUGGGGGGGGGUGUUGUUAUCCUGGAAGAGACCACUGGUGUCCUGUGGGAUGGGGGGGGGUGUUGUUAUCCUGGAAGAGACCACUGGUGGUCCGUGGGAUGGGGGGGGGUGUUGUUAUCCUGGAAGAGACCACUGGUGUCCUGUGGGAUGGGGGGGGUGUUGUUAUCCUGGAAGAGACCACUGGUGUCCUGUGGGAUGGGGGGGGUGUUGUUAUCCUGGAAGAGACCACUGGUGUCCUGUGGGAUGGGGGGGUGUUGUUAUCCUGGAAGAGACCACUGGUGUCCUGUGGGAUGGGGGGUGUUGUUAUCCUGGAAGAGACCACUGGUGUCCUGUGGGAUGGGGGGGUUGUAUCCUGGAAGAGACGACGGGUGUCCGGUGGGAUGGGGGGGGGGGGUGUUGUUAUCCUGGAAGAGACCACUGGUGUCCUGUGGGAUGGG
rnacentral:lncRNA from 1 species